rnacentral:tRNA from 1 species
GAUGCUGUGACUUAGUUGGUUAAAGCGCCUCUCUAGUAAACAGGAGAUACUGAGUUCGAAUCCCAACAGUGCCU